AACGAACGCUGGCGGCAUGCCUAACACAUGCAAGUCGAACGAGACCUUCGUGUCUAGUGGCGCACGGGUGCGUAACGCGUGGGAACCUGCCCUUAGGUUCGGAAUAACUCUCCGUAAGGGGUGCUAAUACCGGAUAAUGUCUUCGGACCAAAGAUUUAUCGCCUUUGGAUGGGCCCGCGUUGGAUUAGCUAGUUGGUAGGGUAAAAGCCUACCAAGGCGACGAUCCAUAGCUGGUCUGAGAGGAUGAUCAGCCACACUGGGACUGAGACACGGCCCAGACUCCUACGGGAGGCAGCAGUGGGGAAUAUUGGACAAUGGGCGAAAGCCUGAUCCAGCAAUGCCGCGUGAGUGAUGAAGGCCUUAGGGUUGUAAAGCUCUUUUACCCGGGAUGAUAAUGACAGUACCGGGAGAAUAAGCUCCGGCUAACUCCGUG
rnacentral:rRNA from 1 species